AUUGAACGCUGGCGGCAGGCCUAACACAUGCAAGUCGAGCGGAUGAAGGGAGCUUGCUCCUGGAUUCAGCGGCGGACGGGUGAGUAAUGCCUAGGAAUCUGCCUGGUAGUGGGGGAUAACGUCCGGAAACGGGCGCUAAUACCGCAUACGUCCUGAGGGAGAAAGUGGGGGAUCUUCGGACCUCACGCUAUCAGAUGAGCCUAGGUCGGAUUAGCUAGUUGGUGGGGUAAAGGCCUACCAAGGCGACGAUCCGUAACUGGUCUGAGAGGAUGAUCAGUCACACUGGAACUGAGACACGGUCCAGACUCCUACGGGAGGCAGCGGUGGGGAAUAUUGGACAAUGGGCGAAAGCCUGAUCCAGCCAUGCCGCGUGUGUGAAGAAGGUCUUCGGAUUGUAAAGCACUUUAAGUUGGGAGGAAGGGCAGUAAGUUAAUACCUUGCUGUUUUGACGUUACCAACAGAAUAAGCACCGGCUAACUUCGU
rnacentral:rRNA from 1 species